rnacentral:misc_RNA from 1 species
AGACUUCGCAGCUCGAGCUGCUUCUGCGAACUUCCUCUCGCGCUUUCUCCUGCCACCCCUACUACGCUUUUUGCUUCCUCCCAAGCUAUUUUCUCCAUUCUUGGUAGAUGCAAGAGCAUGAUCAAGUGACUGCUUUCGAGGGAGAACUUUAGCCGAGACGGGAUCGGUGAUGCCUUGACCCGAUAUGCCUAAUCCCAUGCCUU